rnacentral:rRNA from 1 species
UACGAAGGGGGCUAGCGUUGCUCGGAAUCACUGGGCGUAAAGCGCACGUAGGCGGCUUUUUAAGUCAGGGGUGAAAUCCUGGAGCUCAACUCCAGAACUGCCUUUGAUACUGAGAAGCUUGAGUCCGGGAGAGGUGAGUGGAACUGCGAGUGUAGAGGUGAAAUUCGUAGAUAUUCAAGAACACCAGUGGCGAAGGCGGCUCACUGGCCCGGUACUGACGCUGAGGUGCGAAAGCGUGGGGAGCAAACAGG